rnacentral:rRNA from 1 species
UGGGGAAUAUUGCACAAUGGGCGCAAGCCUGAUGCAGCAACGCCGCGUGAACGAUGAAGGUCUUCGGAUCGUAAAGUUCUGUUGCAGGGGAAGAUAAUGACGGUACCCUGUGAGGAAGCCCCGGCUAACUACGUGCCAGCAGCCGCGGUAAUACGUAGGGGGCUAGCGUUAUCCGGAUUUACUGGGCGUAAAGGGUGCGUAGGUGGUCUUUCAAGUCGGUGGUUAAAGGCUACGGCUCAACCGUAGUUAGCCUCCGAAACUGGAAGACUUGAGUGCAGGAGAGGAAAGUGGAAUUCCCAGGGGAGCGGUGAAAUGCGUAGAUAUUGGGAGGAACACCAGUAGCGAAGGCGGCUUUCUGGACUGCAACUGACACUGAGGCACGAAAGCGUGGGUAGCAAACAGG